UUCCUGUUAGAGGUUAAUUAUCUAUGCCAAUAAAAUUGAAUGCCAUAUGGUAAGAGUGUACUAUUUUCUUUUUUUCCAGGAAAACGAAAUAACUACUCAGAAGAAACGUGUUUUCUUCUUACAUAUAUACGGUGUACUCAUUUUAACAUGUACAUCUGGAAGAGUAAGCCUGAGGUUUGAUUCACCCCAAAAAACAAUAUUGAAC
rnacentral:lncRNA from 1 species